rnacentral:rRNA from 1 species
CCCUUAGAUGCUCUGGGCCGCACGCGCGCUACACUGGUCGAUGCAACGAGUUUCUUUCCUUGGCCGACAGGCCUGGGCAAUCUUUGAACAUCGAUCGUGAUCGGGAUAGAUUCUUGUAAUUUUUGAUCUUAAACGAGGAAUUCCUAGUAAACGCAAGUCAUCAGCUUACAUUGAUUACGUCCCUGCCCUUUGUACACACCGCCCGUCGCACCUACCGAUUGAAUGGUCCGGUGAAAUCUCCGGACUGGCGUGAGUCGGAGCAAUCUGACAAACACCGGAAAGUUGAUUAAACCUUACCAUUUAGAGGAAGGUGAAGUCGUAACA